rnacentral:lncRNA from 1 species
UUGGGCCUGCCGGGGCUAGUGGGACCUAGCUCUUGCCCGGGCUUCUUCUCUCGCACUGGAGGGCGUUUGGGCUCGGUCAGGGGGCCUUUUGCCCGGGUUUGAGACAGCACUAGAGCUGCUCUUAGCCAUGGCAAGGGGGGAGCUAUGUCAGCCACUAUUCACAUGAAUAGUGGUUGCCAUUGCAAAUAGUAUUUUGUGUUUCCAC